rnacentral:rRNA from 1 species
UGCCAGCCGCCGCGGUAAUACGGAGGGUGCAAGCGUUAAUCGGAAUUACUGGGCGUAAAGCGCGCGUAGGCGGAUUGUUAAGUCUCAUGUGAAAGCCCUGGGCUCAACCUGGGAACUGCAUGGGAUACUGGCAAUCUAGAAUACAGUAGAGGGUAGUGGAAUUUCAGGUGUAGCGGUGAAAUGCGUAGAUAUUGGGAAGAACACCAGUGGCGAAGGCGACUUCCUGGAUUCAUACUGACACUGAGGCGCGAAAGCAUGGGGAGCAAACAGGAUUAGAUA